CAAGGCUUGACAUCGCCCGGAAAGCAUCAGAGAUGGUGCCCCCCUUGUGGUCGGGUGACAGGUGGUGCAUGGCUGUCGUCAGCUCGUGUCGUGAGAUGUUGGGUUAAGUCCCGCAACGAGCGCAACCCUUGUUCUGUGUUGCCAGCAUGCCCUUCGGGGUGAUGGGGACUCACAGGAGACUGCCGGGGUCAACUCGGAGGAAGGUGGGGACGACGUCAAGUCAUCAUGCCCCUUAUGUCUUGGGCUGCACACGUGCUACAAUGGCAGGUACAAUGAGCUGCGAAGCCGUGAGGCGGAGCGAAUCUCAAAAAGCCUGUCUCAGUUCGGAUUGGGGUCUGCAACUCGACCCCAUGAAGUCGGAGUUGCUAGUAAUCGCAGAUCAGCAGUGCUGCGGUGAAUA
rnacentral:rRNA from 1 species